CUGGACCCCCUACAGCUAUGUGAACGUGUUAGAUCAGUGCCCUGGAGGCCAGGUACCCGCCCGAGGACUUCUACAUUGAACUUAGACACCUCAGCCGCCCCGCUGAGCCACACUCACCAGGUGCUUGUGGAAUGGAUAGACGUCAGAACACAUACAUUAUGGACAAAGGCUUCAAAGAUGCCAACUAAAUGUCUUCGGAAAUGUAAAGCGUCAUUAUCCAACCAAUUAGUACGAGUUAAAUUGAUUAUAAAAUCUGAAAUAAAGUUGAUCUACCUGCCCCAGAGGCCUCCUGUCGUUGCACUAGCAAGGAAUGCCACCCUGCACCUGCUGGCUUUCUGGGGGCACAAGGAAUGAAAAUGAUACGCAGUGUUAAUAUUGUAUGGCACUCCAACCUCAAGAGAUCUCUGCCUCCAAGAGCAGAGAAGCCAAGACAAAUCCCUAACACAUGGGAACUGCAAGUUGGAUCAUCCCUCUAGGAAGUCUACAGGUGAAGCCAAAGAUGAAAGGUCAGGUCCUGCCCUAGGUUUAAAUGCCGGAAUGUGUGAAAUAGGGGGCUUUGGAACUCUGUCACUUGCCACUCUGUUGCUCAUUAACUGUGACCUUAGACUGGACUGUGAGCUUUCCAAGGCUCAGUUUCCUCAUCUGCAAGGUUGGGAUAAUUUUGCCUGUCCUAUUGUCUAAUGCCUGUCCUACUGUCUAACAAGGUUAUCAUGAGUAACCAAUAAAAUCACCAAUGGGAA
rnacentral:lncRNA from 1 species